GAUGAACGCUGGCGGCGUGCCUAAUACAUGCAAGUCGAGCGAACAGACGAGGAGCUUGCUCCUCUGACGUUAGCGGCGGACGGGUGAGUAACACGUGGAUAACCUACCUAUAAGACUGGGAUAACUUCGGGAAACCGGAGCUAAUACCGGAUAAUAUAUUGAACCGCAUGGUUCAAUAGUGAAAGACGGUUUUGCUGUCACUUAUAGAUGGAUCCGCGCCGCAUUAGCUAGUUGGUAAGGUAACGGCUUACCAAGGCAACGAUGCGUAGCCGACCUGAGAGGGUGGUCGGCCACAAUGGAACUGAGAAACGGGCCAGACUCCUAAGGGAGGCAGCAGUAGGGAAUCUUCCGCAAUGGGCGAAAGCCUGAAGGAGCAACGCCGCGUGAGUGAUGAAGGUCCUCGGAUCGUAAAACUCUGUUAUUAGGGAAGAACAAAUGUGGAAAUAACUAUGCACGUCUUGAAGGUAACUAAUCAAAAAGCCACGGCUAACUACGUG
rnacentral:rRNA from 1 species